rnacentral:rRNA from 1 species
AGCCCUAGAUAUUAUCUAAGGUGUAACCUGCCCAAUGAUUUUAAAUUAAAUAAAUAAAAGUUAUGAAAUAAAAUUAAAAGGACGCGGUAACCUUGACCGUGAUAAUGUAGCAUAAUCAUUCGCCAUUUAAUUGAUGGAUAGUAUGAAUGGUUGAACGAAUAUUUCACUGUCUUAAAAAGAAAUAACAAAAAAUUGGAAUAAUAGUAAAGAUACUAUUUAAGAUUGUAAGACGAAAAGACCCUAUAGAGCUUGACUAUAAUCUCUUUAAAUUAAAAGAAAUAUUUUCAAAAACAAAGAGAUUGGUAGUUUAGUUGGGGCGACUAUCUUUUAAAACUAACAAAGAUAAGCAAAGUAAAUAAAAACACUUAUUGUAUAAUUAAUUAAUUUAACAAUUAUAAAAAUAGGCUAUAAUGACCCGUUAUAAUUUAAUAAAUAAAAAUAACGAUCAAUAAAUAAAAGCUACCUUAGGGAUAACAGGAUAAUUUUAUUUUAGAGAUCUUAUCGAAAAUAAAGUUUGUCACCUCUAUGUUGAAUUAAGAUAUCCUGACAAUGCAGAAGUUGUCAAAGGUGGGUCUGUUCGACCCUUAAAAUCUUA